UCGUCGUGGAAACUUUACGCUUACCAUGGAGACGCUCGCGUGGUCUUAAACCCCGACGUCAAACCGUUGGUCAAUCCUCAUUACUCCCUCGGCCUCCACAGCACGCCACACACUAGCUUUCAGGCUCUGUGUGAUCCUAGCCGGUCUGCUGCCACUCACGGCAAUGGACAAUUUGCUUAUAGGCUUUAUUUGCUAUCUUUUCGUAUCCGUAAGUUAGACCGUACAACAAGUUCUAUCAACAUCCAAGGAGCUGACAUGGACCCAGAUAGCUACGCUGAAGCCGCGGAAAAUCAUAUGGCGCAAGGCAAGACAUAA
rnacentral:lncRNA from 1 species